rnacentral:tRNA from 1 species
AGAGAUUUAGCUCAGUGGCAGAGCACUUGCUUGCCUAGCAAGCGCCAGGUCCUGAGUUCAGUCCUCGGCCCUG